ACCGGCAAGCGCGGUGCCCGAGCCGGCAGCCGUGGACGCAGCGCCGUACGACACAGCGUACCCGCCGUCACCGCCGCCGCCCGCCUUCGACCCCGACCUCUGGCGGGUCGACUACCAGAAGCUGGUCAACACCUUGUACCAGAACGACGAGGAGGCCAGCGGCUACAUGACCCCGGACGAGGCGGGCAGGAUCACAGAGAGCUACAACGUCAUCUACAACCUGGGCAUCCCCACCGACUUCAUCAACCAGGCACUGUCGCAGGCCACGGAGCCCAACUACGGCAUGAUUCAGCUCAACAUCUACACCGACGUCCUGAUGAGGCUGUGUCUGAAUGUGUCGUAAUCGCCUCCGAUGGGACUGUGGCGCCAGCGAUCCCUCGAUCCAUCGCAGCUGAGAUCGCGUGCAUCGCCGAAGGGCGGAAGCCGCUCGGGCAUUGUGUUUUCUGUUGAACACAGGGUUAUCAAUGUGCAGGCCCACAUUGUUUAAGUUGCCGAUAGCAGAACAGCUUUACAUCAGCGUUCCCUGACACACGACACCCAUCAUUUACACCGCCAGCCAACAAGCCGGCUGAGCCAUGGUCGGGACAUGUAUCACCUUACUAAAGUAUUGUGGUGUGCGUACUCUACCAGGUACAUUCUGUCAAUUCGAGUCGGGGAAGCGUGACUAUGUUAUGGGUACUUGUGUGAUCACUGCCGCAACAGCCGGUGUGUUAUAAUUCUGGCUUCUGUACACGCGGUGCGUGAAUAUAACUGUGUCUCGCUAGACUGAAAUGAAUCGUUGACCCACUUGUGGUUCAUGGCUUUUCAACAAUUCGUCAACAAUUUGUCAACAAUUCGAGUGCAUUCUUUUUGCAGCGCUUGCAUUCAAAUAAAGCAUGUAUUUUUGA